UGUGAGCUCGAUGAGUAGGGCGGGACACGUGGUAUCCUGUCUGAAUAUGGGGGGACCAUCCUCCAAGGCUAAAUACUCCUGACUGACCGAUAGUGAACCAGUACCGUGAGGGAAAGGCGAAAAGAACCCCGGCGAGGGGAGUGAAAAAGAACCUGAAACCGUGUACGUACAAGCAGUGGGAGCACGCUUAGGCGUGUGACUGCGUACCUUUUGUAUAAUGGGUCAGCGACUUAUAUUCUGUAGCAAGGUUAACCGAAUAGGGGAGCCGAAGGGAAACCGAGUCUUAACUGGGCGUUAAGUUGCAGGGUAUAGACCCGAAACCCGGUGAUCUAGCCAUGGGCAGGUUGAAGGUUGGGUAACACUAACUGGAGGACCGAACCGACUAAUGUUGAAAAAUUAGCGGAUGACUUGUGGCUGGGGGUGAAAGGCCAAUCAAACCGGGAGAUAGCUGGUUCUCCCCGAAAGCUAUUUAGGUAGCGCCUCGUGAAUUCAUCUCCGGGGGUAGAGCACUGUUUCGGCAAGGGGGUCAUCCCGACUUACCAACCCGAUGCAAACUGCGAAUACCGGAGAAUGUUAUCACGGGAGACACACGGCGGGUGCUAACGUCCGUCGUGAAGAGGGAAACAACCCAGACCGCCAGCUAAGGUCCCAAAGUCAUGGUUAAGUGGGAAACGAUGUGGGAAGGCCCAGACAGCCAGGAUGUUGGCUUAGAAGCAGCCAUCAUUUAAAGAAAGCGUAAUAGCUCACUGGUCGAGUCGGCCUGCGCGGAAGAUGUAACGGGGCUAAACCAUGCACCGAAGCUGCGGCAGCGACGCUUAUGCGUUGUUGGGUAGGGGAGCGUUCUGUAAGCCUGCGAAGGUGUGCUGUGAGGCAUGCUGGAGGUAUCAGAAGUGCGAAUGCUGACAUAAGUAACGAUAAAGCGGGUGAAAAGCCCGCUCGCCGGAAGACCAAGGGUUCCUGUCCAACGUUAAUCGGGGCAGGGUGAGUCGACCCCUAAGGCGAGGCCGAAAGGCGUAGUCGAUGGGAAACAGGUUAAUAUUCCUGUACUUGGUGUUACUGCGAAGGGGGGACGGAGAAGGCUAUGUUGGCCGGGCGACGGUUGUCCCGGUUUAAGCGUGUAGGCUGGUUUUCCAGGCAAAUCCGGAAAAUCAAGGCUGAGGCGUGAUGACGAGGCACUACGGUGCUGAAGCAACAAAUGCCCUGCUUCCAGGAAAAGCCUCUAAGCAUCAGGUAACAUCAAAUCGUACCCCAAACCGACACAGGUGGUCAGGUAGAGAAUACCAAGGCGCUUGAGAGAACUCGGGUGAAGGAACUAGGCAAAAUGGUGCCGUAACUUCGGGAGAAGGCACGCUGAUAUGUAGGUGAAGUCCCUCGCGGAUGGAGCUGAAAUCAGUCGAAGAUACCAGCUGGCUGCAACUGUUUAUUAAAAACACAGCACUGUGCAAACACGAAAGUGGACGUAUACGGUGUGACGCCUGCCCGGUGCCGGAAGGUUAAUUGAUGGGGUCAGCGCAAGCGAAGCUCUUGAUCGAAGCCCCGGUAAACGGCGGCCGUAACUAUAACGGUCCUAAGGUAGCGAAAUUCCUUGUCGGGUAAGUUCCGACCUGCACGAAUGGCGUAAUGAUGGCCAGGCUGUCUCCACCCGAGACUCAGUGAAAUUGAACUCGCUGUGAAGAUGCAGUGUACCCGCGGCAAGACGGAAAGACCCCGUGAACCUUUACUAUAGCUUGACACUGAACAUUGAGCCUUGAUGUGUAGGAUAGGUGGGAGGCUUUGAAGUGUGGACGCCAGUCUGCAUGGAGCCGACCUUGAAAUACCACCCUUUAAUGUUUGAUGUUCUAACGUUGACCCGUAAUCCGGGUUGCGGACAGUGUCUGGUGGGUAGUUUGACUGGGGCGGUCUCCUCCUAAAGAGUAACGGAGGAGCACGAAGGUUGGCUAAUCCUGGUCGGACAUCAGGAGGUUAGUGCAAUGGCAUAAGCCAGCUUGACUGCGAGCGUGACGGCGCGAGCAGGUGCGAAAGCAGGUCAUAGUGAUCCGGUGGUUCUGAAUGGAAGGGCCAUCGCUCAACGGAUAAAAGGUACUCCGGGGAUAACAGGCUGAUACCGCCCAAGAGUUCAUAUCGACGGCGGUGUUUGGCACCUCGAUGUCGGCUCAUCACAUCCUGGGGCUGAAGUAGGUCCCAAGGGUAUGGCUGUUCGCCAUUUAAAGUGGUACGCGAGCUGGGUUUAGAACGUCGUGAGACAGUUCGGUCCCUAUCUGCCGUGGGCGCUGGAGAACUGAGGGGGGCUGCUCCUAGUACGAGAGGACCGGAGUGGACGCAUCACUGGUGUUCGGGUUGUCAUGCCAAUGGCACUGCCCGGUAGCUAAAUGCGGAAGAGAUAAGUGCUGAAAGCAUCUAAGCACGAAACUUGCCCCGAGAUGAGUUCUCCCUGACUCCUUGAGAGUCCUGAAGGAACGUUGAAGACGACGACGUUGAUAGGCCGGGUGUGUAAGCGCAGCGAUGCGUUGAGCUAACCGGUACUAAUGAACCGUGAGGCUUAACCUUACAACGCCGAAGGUGUUU
rnacentral:rRNA from 1 species